UACAGAGGUCCCAAGCGUUGUUCGGAUUCACUGGGCGUAAAGGGUGCGUAGGCGGUUUGACAAGUCUGAUGUGAAAUCCCGCAGCUUAACUGCGGAACUGCAUUGGAAACUGUUUGACUAGAGGAAUGGAGGGGAGACUGGAAUACUUGGUGUAGCAGUGAAAUGCGUAGAUAUCAAGUGGAACACCAGUGGCGAAGGCGAGUCUCUGGACAUUUCCUGACGCUGAGGCACGAAAGCCAGGGGAGCAAACAGG
rnacentral:rRNA from 1 species